AGGUCAUGUGUGGCCACUGCCUCAAGUACCACGCUGCAACCUCCUUUGGCGUCUUUGUACAUUCCUUAUCAAGCAAAUGGACAGUUUUUUCAUUUCCAAUGCAUGCAGUCGAUACUUCCAAGCAUCCUAGGAAACCCUCUUUUUACAUUUUGUGCUAGGAUUCGAGCAAUGUUUUCAAUAUUAGGUGAUCGCAAAUAUUGAGGUCUAAAAACUGCCACCACUGCCCUGCAGAACUUGUAGAAACACUCAAUGAUGGUGGACUCGGCCAUGCGUCCUGGAGCGAGGUGAAUCCAAGUAUGCUGGAGCAAUCAUUUUUGUACUUGAAGUAGUUGUCGAACUCCCUGAUGGAAUUCACAAUCCCGAG
rnacentral:lncRNA from 1 species